rnacentral:rRNA from 1 species
AUUGAACGCUGGCGGCAGGCUUAACACAUGCAAGUCGAGCGGAGUGAUGGUGCUUGCACUAUCACUUAGCGGCGGACGGGUGAGUAAUGCUUAGGAAUCUGCCAUUUAGUGGGGGACAACAUUCCGAAAGGAAUGCUAAUACCGCAUACGUCCUACGGGAGAAAGCAGGGGAUCUUCGGACCUUGCGCUAAAUGAUGAGCCUAAGUCGGAUUAGCUAGUUGGUGGGGUAAAGGCCUACCAAGGCGACGAUCUGUAGCGGGUCUGAGAGGAUGAUCCGCCACACUGGGACUAAGACACGGCCCAGACUCCUACGGGAGGCAGCAGUGGGGAAUAUUGGACAAUGGGCGGAAGCCUGAUCCAGCCAUGCCGCGUGUGUGAAGAAGGCCUUAUGGUUGUAAAGCACUUUAAGCGAGGAGGAGGCUACUUUAGAUAAUACCUAGAGAUAGUGGACGUUACUCGCAGAAUAAGCACCAGCUAACUCUGUGCCAGCAGCCGCGGUAAAAC